UUACGGGAGGCAGCAGUGGGGAAUAUUGCACAAUGGGGGAAACCCUGAUGCAGCCAUGCCGCGUGUGUGAAGAAGGCCUUCGGGUUGUAAAGCACUUUCAGCGAGGAGGAAAGGUUGGCGCCUAAUACGUGUCAACUGUGACGUUACUCGCAGAAGAAGCACCGGCUAACUCCGUGCCAGCAGCCGCGGUAAUA
rnacentral:rRNA from 1 species